rfam:Bacillus sp. MRMR6 scaffold_62, whole genome shotgun sequence.
AGGGGUAUAGUUUAAAGGUAGAACGAAGGUCUCCAAAACCUUUGGUGUGGGUUCAAUUCCUACUACCCCUG